rnacentral:tRNA from 1 species
AAAAGGUUAGUUAACCAAUAACAUUGGCAUGUCAAGCCAAAAUGGCUCACACUGAGCACCUUUUA